AGCACCUCCAAAUCAUCUGAAAGCAGGAAAUAGCUGGAGUCUGGAGUCUUCCAUGCAAAUGGAGUUUCUUCCAGCUAAUGUGGCAAAAGCCCCCCAGCCUGCCCUCACCAACCUGGCACCCACCAGGUAUCACUGGUGUCAUUAACUGAGAGAAGAUUUCCAUGGGAUUGGGUGAAAUUGUACUUACCAGCUGCGAAAUAUGGAUUAAGGGCACCACAUUGCACUGUCUUGUAUGUUGGCUGCUCUGUGGACAGAAGAAAUCAAUGACAGGAUGAUCUUUUCCCUUUGCAAAGUCUAUAAAUGAACUCUCAGUCCUGUUCUGAGGGUAACUGUGCUCAUGGGCCUGAGCCCCAUGCCACUUGGCUUCUUGGCUUGCUAGAGGGAAGGGCUGCUGGAGGUGCAGCAUCUUGAAGAUGGUCUGGGAGGUCUCACAGGCAAGAUCUGUCAGGAUGGGGACAUUUCUGUCUGCAGGGAAAAGACAACUUGCUGAGAUCUGAGGGACUCCAUGGGACCUACUUGGAGCUCAGGGCUGCUCAAGGGAUCACAGUGGGACCAAGGUGAGGGGCAGCCCUAUGGCAGCCUCAUUUUCCAGCCACCUUCCUGUGGUAUUGCUGUCAGACAAGGUGCGUGGGGAAGGUUUAUAUUACAUGAAAACCUCUUGGUCUUUUAUCAUCAGGGAAAUGAACUGGGUGAUCUGUAAGUUUUUUUCAAUUAUUCUGUUCUGAAAAGCUGCGUAAUAAUUUAUUCAUAUUUCUAUACCAUAGUUUUGUGUAGUUAUCCUCUGAAAACAACUCUUCUGAGGAAAAGUGGAGGUACUAGGUCUACCUUUUUGGGAAAGAUAAGCAAUUAUAUGCUAAAGACCAGAAUAAAAUAUACUGACCAAAUAAACCUACUAGAUUUACUCUUGUAAAGUAACAGCA
rnacentral:lncRNA from 1 species